rnacentral:rRNA from 1 species
UACGAAGGGGGCUAGCGUUGCUCGGAAUCACUGGGCGUAAAGCGCACGUAGGCGGCUUUCUAAGUCGGGGGUGAAAUCCUGGAGCUCAACUCCAGAACUGCCUUCGAUACUGGCGAUCUUGAGUCCGGAAGAGGUGAGUGGAACUCCUAGUGUAGAGGUGGAAUUCGUAGAUAUUAGGAAGAACACCAGUGGCGAAGGCGGCUCACUGGUCCGGUACUGACGCUGAGGUGCGAAAGCGUGGGGAGCAAACAGG